rnacentral:rRNA from 1 species
UACAGAGGUCUCAAGCGUUGUUCGGAUUCAUUGGGCGUAAAGGGCGCGUAGGCUGCGGGGUAAGUCGGGUGUGAAAUUUCGGAGCUUAACUCCGAAACUGCAUUCGAUACUGCGGUGCUUGAGGACUGGAGAGGAGACUGGAAUUCAUGGUGUAGCAGUGAAAUGCGUAGAGAUCAUGAGGAAGACCAGUGGCGAAGGCGGGUCUCUGGACAGUUCCUGACACUGAGGCACGAAGGCCAGGGGAGCAAACGGG